rnacentral:lncRNA from 1 species
UGCGUUGCAUUCAGCUAUGCAGGGAUCUUCGUAUCCAAUAAGACCAUGAUGCUCUUACCGUCUUGAUUUCACGCUGGUGUUCUUCCACCUAUACAUUUGUCACUGCUUGGGGGGAGUUCACCCCAACUCUAGAGGACGUUUAUGCCAUUUACCAGUAAUCCCUUUUUUUUUCUAUUUCGUUCAUUCUCUUUUUCUUUUU